rnacentral:misc_RNA from 1 species
GUGCAAGCUGGCUCGGACACCAUGGUUAUUAAAAACAAAGAAAAUUGUGUGUCUUGUGGUUAGUGUUGUAGGAAUUUUUGUAUAUGAUUAGUUAAUAAUUAGAAAUAUGAAGCAUCAGAAGAAGAAAAAGAGAUCAAAAGCUUGUAAAAAAGUUGGGGUUGGUAAUGGUUCGUUGCCAUCUGGGAAUAGUAAUGAUGGAGGGGAGAGUGUUGUGACGGCGUUAACGGAGGCAUUUACCUCUGUAUCUAUGGAGGAAGCAACAUGUGCUUAUGAAGAGGCAAAUGGGGAUUUGAAUAAAGCAAUGGAGAUUCUGGGUGAUAUGGUGGAGCGUAAGGAAGAGGAUAAGAUCACUACUUGUUCAAGCUCGAGUGGAAACGUUGGUUCAAGCUUGGAUUCGAGUAACUCAGAGGUGUUUGUUGGGGGUCAUUCCUGGCAGAAUUCAGUUCAGCGCAAGGCUAAGGUGAAGAAAUUGGUGGCUGCUACUGGAACAGUAUCGACGAUGAUAGGGAAGGAUUAUGUGAGAACAACUACAAAGAAGAGUUGUUCAAAGCUCAAGGGGUUACAUGAUGAAACAUCGAGCAACGAAGAUGUUGAGCAGUUUUUGUAUUCCAUGCUUGGGGAAGAUUCUGAUUUGAGCUUAGCUGUCGUCAGAGAUGUGUUAUGUCAAUGCGGAUAUGAAGUUGAGAAGGCUCUGAGUGUGUUGCUUGAAUUAUCAGCUUCCUCUAAUGAGAAACCUAAGCUUAGCGACUGUAGUGCAAACUGGAAAGAAGAGGCUGUGUUUCUUCAUUCAAGUGAUGGUCUUACUGACUGGACAUCUGAUUCUACUUCUCAUUCAUCUGAAAGCGAAGUUCUAGAUAAUGUGUGGUUUUAUGGGCCUCCUGGCAGGAAUUCGUUAAAAGUUCCUGCUGGAAACUCUGAACAUUCUUCAUCAUCUACA